rnacentral:rRNA from 1 species
GACGAACGCUGGCGGCGUGCUUAACACAUGCAAGUCGAACGGAGUGCUCCUGAUUGAGGUUUCGGCCAAAUGAAGGAGUUACUUAGUGGCGGACUGGUGAGUAACGCGUGAGGAACCUGCCUUUCAGAGGGGGACAACAGUUGGAAACGACUGCUAAUACCGCAUAAUGUGUUUUGGGGGCAUCCCUGAAAUACCAAAGAUUUAUCGCUGAAAGAUGGGCUCGCGUCUGAUUAGCUAGUUGGUGGGGUAACGGCCUACCAAGGCGACGAUCAGUAGCCGGACUGAGAGGUUGAACGGCCACAUUGGGACUGAGAUACGGCCCAG